UCCAUUUGGGACAUCUGCAAACACCCCAAAAUUGCUACAGAGCAGGCUUCCCGUGUUUGCUUUGAGAUUACUAUUUCAUUCUUAAAUUUGUUCUGGAAAAUCUGUUUGGACUGCCAGCCCUUGGCAUGUUCAGUUACUGGUAUACACACCAUGAAUGGAUAUUUUUUGAACUAACAUUGGAUUUAGUUCUGUGUGAAAAAUGGAACCUGGCUUUUUUUGUUCUAGACAACUGCUUGGAUUACUGGGGGCUCACGUUUAUUUCUGAUUCCUACAUUUAGGUGAUCUUACUGUAAUCCUGGUACCUCAAAAUAGGUGUAGCAGUUUGUAUACAGGGACCCUGUUCAGUACCUGGGGUCGAGGUUGUGAUAGGACUGAAAUAUCUCAUUAGGAGCACAUCCUGCAAAACUAGGUAUGUAAAUCAAUCUGUCUCCACCUACACAUUAGUUACAAGCAUUUCUGUAUCUGGAUUUUGAUUUGUGGUUGAUAAGUAUCAAUGUAUGUUAACUCAAGUUCAGUGCAUUCUUAGAUUUUUGUACUCACCAUGAAAUCAGUUUUACAUUUAUAUUCAAAAGGACUUUAAAUAGGUCCCUGUUAACUGGUCCUAAAUAUGGAUGUACUGUACUUUGCUGUAAAUGCUUGCAAAAUCCCACUUCCAGUGUAAAAAGCAUUUAUUUGUGAUCUGGCAAAAUGAGUUGUCUUGUGCCAGACUAACAAGGAUGCAUACCCCUCCCCUGCAACAAAGUAUCUCCAAACUUUUUUUUCCCCCCAUCUCCAGGGAGCCACAGUUGCCUGUACUGGCCUCCCUCCCUAUCACUGUGGGUUUCCACUGGCUAUAAUGGUCCAGAGAGGAGGACCUCCCAACAGCCAUACAGGGAUCUGCAUGUAUAGGUUCCAACCUCUCCUGUAAUGGAACUCUGAACAGCAGUCUGGGAACGGUCGUCAUUGUUGGGAAAAGGGUAUUUGGGGAAAAAAAGAUGAAUUCAAACCGGCAUGUCUCCUAUGAGAAUUUCAUUGAACUAAUUUUUCCACUUAAUCUCAUUGUAAUGUCAAUAACUGAGACAGUUGGUAUUAAACACAAACAAGUGUUAUAUAAGCAGACUUCAAAAUAUAGGAUAUAGUCUUUAAACAGCGGUGAUUGCAUGCCUUUGAAUGACAAUGCAGUUAUAUGUACACAUACAUAGACUUUCUGGUAAAACUGAAUCCUGAUCAGUUAUUUAAUGUUAUUUCAACCCCUUAAUAUAUCAACAUUUCUGUCCCUUAGCAUAUCCAUUUUUUUUAACUUUGGAAAAACCUAUUGCAGGCUACAGCAGUUGUAUGUUUUGUUUUAAAUAAAAACAAAAUGCCAGUU